rnacentral:rRNA from 1 species
CCUACGGGAGGCUGCAGUGGGGAAUAUUGGGCAAUGGGCGCAAGCCUGACCCAGCAACGCCGCGUGAAGGAAGAAGGCUUUCGGGUUGUAAACUUCUUUUCUGAGGGACGAAGAAAGUGACGGUACCUCAGGAAUAAGCCACGGCUAACUACGUGCCAGCAGCCGCGGUAAUACGGAAGGCCCGAGCGUUAUCCGGAUUCAUUGGGCUUAAAGGGAGCGUAGGCGGGCGUUCAAGUCAGCUGUAAAAUCGCGCGGCUCAACCGCGCCCCGCAGUUGAAACUGGACGCCUUGAGUUCACAACAGGCAGGCGGAAUUCGUGGUGUAGCGGUGAAAUGCAUAGAUAUCACGAGGAACCCCGAUUGCGAAGGCAGCCUGCCGGGGUGCGACUGACGCUGAGGCUCGAAGGUGCGGGUAUCAAACAGGAUUAGAUACCCUAGUAGUC